rnacentral:rRNA from 1 species
UAGGUGAGCCGGGCGACGGUUGUCCCGGUUUAAGCAUGUAGGCAGUGGGAUUAGGCAAAUCCGGUCCCACAAUGCCGAGACGCGACGACGACUGCCCUUUUAGGGCGGGAAGUCAUUGAUGCCCUGCUUCCAGGAAAAUCUUCUAAGCUUCAGGCUAUUCGAGACCGUACCCCAAACCGACACAGGUGGGUGAGGAGAGUAUCCUCAGGUGCUCGAGUAAUUCAUGGCUAAGGAACUAGGC